rnacentral:rRNA from 1 species
GACGAACGCUGGCGGCGUGCUUAACAUAUGCAAGUCGAACGGAAAGGCCCUUCGGGGUACUCGAGUGGCGAACGGGUGAGUAACACGUGGGUGAUCUGCCCUGCACUUUGGGAUAAGCCUGGGAAACUGGGUCUAAUACCGAAUAGGACCACGCGCUUCAUGGUGUGUGGUGGAAAGCUUUUGCGGUGUGGGAUGGGCCCGCGGCCUAUCAGCUUGUUGGUGGGGUAAUGGCCUACCAAGGCGACGACGGGUAGCCGGCCUGAGAGGGUGACCGGCCACACUGGGACUGAGAUACGGCCCAGACUCCUACGGGAGGCAGCAGUGGGGAAUAUUGCACAAUGGGCGCAAGCCUGAUGCAGCGACGCCGCGUGAGGGAUGACGGCCUUCGGGUUGUAAACCUCUUUCAAUAGGGACGAAGCGCAAGUGACGGUACCUAUAGAAGAAGCACCGGCCAACUACGUG